rnacentral:rRNA from 1 species
UACGGAGGGAGCUAGCGUUAUUCGGAAUUACUGGGCGUAAAGCGCACGUAGGCGGCUUUGUAAGUAAGAGGUGAAAGCCCAGAGCUCAACUCUGGAAUUGCCUUUUAGACUGCAUCGCUUGAAUCAUGGAGAGGUCAGUGGAAUUCCGAGUGUAGAGGUGAAAUUCGUAGAUAUUCGGAAGAACACCAGUGGCGAAGGCGGCUGACUGGCCCGAUACUGACGCUGAGGUGCGAAAGCGUGGGGAGCAAACAGG